rnacentral:lncRNA from 1 species
CCUAAACUCUCAGACUCAUCUCUGUCAGUCUAGGAAGACUGAGAAAACCUGACUUAAUCACCUCCUUGUGACUCACUGCACCGUGCCCCUUCCUUUUGAACACAUAUAAAUCCUAAUUAUUUUUUAAUCCUUCACUAGAACACCAGCAAAAUGAUGGCUACACUCGCAGCAUACAAAUGUGGACGUGUGCAGGAACCAAAGCCAGGGCUUCAGGGGCUCUCCUGCCUGGGGAGUUGCAUGUUGCCAGGGGGACUCGGCACAAGGGACCUCUGCCUCUCCAGCAGAAUUUUAAGAAAAAUCAAGCAGCCCAAUCACACAUCUGUAAAAAAUAAUUCAGUGCUAAAAGGAAGAUUUCACAGCUUAUCCAUACAAGAUACUAGCGGAAGAGAAAUACAUGGAACUACAGAGAAGGGUAAUAAACAGCUGACCAGCAGAUAUUUGGUUACACGUACUGCAAUGACAGCUGAAGGCAGCAUCACUCCACAAGCUGCAUGUGAGAGAGGCCAGCGACGGCUCCGCAGAGCCCUGCCCCACACCAGAGCUGCUGGAGCAGCGCUGAGCAGUCCUUAUCCUGCACAGCCCCAGGACCUCCCUCAGUGUGGGGCUGAACAGUGA